rnacentral:rRNA from 1 species
CCUACGGGAUGCAGCAGUGAGGAAUAUUGGUCAAUGGGCGCGAGCCUGAACCAGCCAAGUAGCGUGAAGGAUGACUGCCCUACGGGUUGUAAACUUCUUUUAUAAAGGAAUAAAGUGAGGCACGUUUGCCUUUUUGUAUGUACUUUAUGAAUAAGGAUCGGCUAACUCCGUGCCAUCAGCCGCGGUAAUACGGCGGAUCCUAGCGUUCUCCGGAUUUAUUGGGUUUAAAGGUAGCUUAGAUGGGUUGUUAAGUCAGUUGUGAAAGUUUGCGGCUCAACCGUAAAAUUGCAAUUGAUACUGGCAGUCAUGAGGACAGUUGAGGUAGGCGGAAUUCGUGGUGGAGCGGUGAAAUGCUUAGAUAUCACGAAGAACGCCGAUUGCGAAGGCAGCUUACUAAACUGCCACUGACAUUGAUGCUCGAAAGUGUGGGUAUCAAACAGGAUUAGAUACCCUAGUAGUC